UACAGAGGGGGCAAGCGUUAUUCGGAAUUAUUGGGCGUAAAGGGCGCGUAGGCGGCUUCGCAAGUGACGGGUGAAAUCCCUCGGCUUAACCGAGGAACUGCCUGUGAAACUGCGUGGCUUGAGACCAGGAGAGGUGAGUGGAAUUCCCAGUGUAGCGGUGAAAUGCGUAGAUAUUGGGAGGAACACCAGUGGCGAAGGCGACUUACUGGACUGAUACUGACGCUGAGGCGCGAAAGCGUGGGGAGCAAACAGG
rnacentral:rRNA from 1 species